AUGGUCGACAGAAGCUCGGGUGCUCUGUGUAUAACGACACAAGGGCAAAAUAUGCAGGCCUUCUUGGAUGACGAGAGGGCUAUUGCACAUGCAGCUACUGAGUGUCUGACCUUAGCAACCAGAGGGAGAGUCCGUGAAAAAAUGGCGCCCUAUGGGGCAAGGUCGAGAAGUGAGUCCCGCCGCGAGACCAGUGCGGAAAUUGACCAGGCCAUCGGUUUGGACGAGUCCCGACAACAGAGAAGAAGCAGAGGUCAGCCAUUUUUUCUCGUGCCGGGUUUGAGGUUUGCGACAUGGUGUUGCUGCGUUUCCGGAGCCAGCGAAUUGUUCAGUGCUCUGUGUUUUUAAAUUAUUAUUUACCUUUACCAUGACUUCCUCGAAGUAGGGUAAUGAAUCUGCGGUGGAGGAGACGGUAAAUCUAGAGUUGAUGGAGGACGCUGAGGCUGAUGAACGUAUUAUUCUACCCUGGAAAUGAGAGCAAUGUUAGUUGAGGCGAGGUCAUACCUGUACAACAGGGCGGACAAGGAUUUCAAAGAUGCCCGUUUGAAAUCCAACGCAUGGGACGAAAUUGCUAAGGAAUGUGGUCUAGCAAAUAAGUAUCCUUCCAUAUGUUGAGCUAUCUUGGAUGGUGGAGGAGACAGAUCUAUGUUGAGCUAUCCUGUAUGGUGGAGGAUACAGAUCUGUCAACUCUAGAUCUAGAGUUGAUGGGGGACGCUGAGGCUGAAGGGACGUUUUAUUCUACCCUGAAAAUGGUAGCAAUGUUGGUUGAGGCGAGGCCAUCAGCGAUAUUUCAUAGAUGUAGAAGAUAAUGUAGAUGUUGGAUUUUAUAUUCCAGAAGGAGGCCUCCUCGGAGAGUACCUCGAGGAAGAGGAGACGCCAGGUGAAGACGAAUUCGACGAAGUAUUCCUGGGAUUUGACGAGGAAGCCGCGGCUGGUGCAAAUCAACCAUAUCUGAACAACAAGGCUGACAAGGAUUUCAAAGAUGCCCGUUUGAAAUCCAUGUUAAGUUGGUACAUAAUCUAAUACCACCUCUAGUAUUAUUUCUCUCUCUUAUGUUGGUAACAUACAUGUGUACGUGCGCACCUCUCUCUUGUUGUUCGCCCUGUGUGCUUUAACCUUAUUAAAAAGUAAGAGCCUUCGAGCCAUGCCCUUAACUAAAUUUACUUUCGUUAUUUUCUCCAUCCUAAUCAUUCCCUGUGAAUAAAUCUGCAAUCCGACAAUCCAACGCGUGGGACGAAAUUGCUGGGGAAUGUGGUCUAGCAAGUAAGUACUCCUUCCAUACGUUGAACUAUCUUGUAUGGUGGAGGAGACAGAUCUAUGUUGAGCUAUCUUGUAGGGUGGAGGAGACAGAUCCACCAGCUCUAGAUCUGGAGUUGAUGGGGGACGCUAAGGCUGAAGGGACGUAUUAUUCUACCCUGAAAAUGAUAGCAAUGUUAGUUGAGGCGAGACCAGCCUGUACAACAAGGCUGACAAGGAUUUUAAAGAUGCCCGUUGAAAUCCAACGCAUGGGACGAAAUUGCUAAGGAAUGUGGUCUAGCAUGUAAGUACUCCUUCCAUAUGUUGAGCUAUCUUGUAUGUUAGGUCAUUCGAGAAGAAGAUCGUGUACCCGAGCGAAAGGUCCCUAUAUUUUUUUCAACAUCCGUCGGUAAGUGGGUGAAAAAGAAAUGUAAGGCAUUUGUGUGAGUUUUGAAACUAGAUGGUCAAGUCUGAUGUAUUGCCUCAAUUAUUAAGUAGAAAAUAUUUAUUAAGCAUAUUUAUUAAGCAGAAAAAUUUGAUUAUUUUUCAUGGCCUUCAUUCCUCAAUUUUCAGAUCGAACAAAGUUAGAGAUUCGGCGUGUCAAAUCAACGAGUUUCGGGUUCCGAUUGCCACAAAUUCCCGAGGAGCUGAAGCCAGUGAGUUGUGCAUCAUCAUCAUCAUCCUCAUUUUCAAAAGGGAAACAGCGCCAAUCGAAACAUAGAAAAAAUGUUGAUACAUUUCACAAAAUUAUAAGAAAAGCUAAAAAGAAAUUCGGUACUAAAACCAAUGCCCAGAACAUAU
rnacentral:lncRNA from 1 species